CCUACGGGUGGCAGCAGUGGGGAAUAUUGGACAAUGGGCGAAAGCCUGAUCCAGCCAUGCCGCGUGUGUGAAGAAGGCCUUCGGGUUGUAAAGCACUUUCAGUGGGGAAGAAAGCCUUGGGGCUAAUACCCUCGAGGAAGGACAUCACCCACAGAAGAAGCGCCGGCUAACUCCGUGCCAGCAGCCGCGGUAAUACGGAGGGUGCGAGCGUUAAUCGGAAUUACUGGGCGUAAAGCGCGCGUAGGCGGUCUGAUAAGCCGGUUGUGAAAGCCCCGGGCUCAACCUGGGAACGGCAUCCGGAACUGUCAGGCUAGAGUGCAGGAGAGGAAGGUAGAAUUCCCGGUGUAGCGGUGAAAUGCGUAGAGAUCGGGAGGAAUACCAGUGGCGAAGGCGGCCUUCUGGACUGACACUGACGCUGAGGUGCGAAAGCGUGGGUAGCAAACAGGAUUAGAUACCCCGGUAGUC
rnacentral:rRNA from 1 species